CUUCCGGUCCGGCAGCUAACUGAAAACUGCUCCUCUGGGUUUGGUAUCUUAAUUGACACUGGAGCUGUUCCCUUGGGCUUUAGCUCUAGUUGCCCUAGGAGUUGUGCCCAUUACCAGACUUUCAGAGAACUAGAUGAAGCAAGAAACAUUUGUGAGAGGAGAGAGGAAGAGGCUGUCUUAAGAUCCUGACUAGUCUGGUUAUUAGAGGAACUACACAUCCGUGGCUCCUAACAAGAGCAUAAUGUGAAAUGAUCAAGGCGGUGCCCGACUGGCUGAUGACUUCAUUCAUUGUGUGCUGGCUCACUGACCCACAAAUCUCCUUUGAUAUGCCAGGCAGGAGAAAGAGCUUGCAAGGAUCAAGAGGAAAGCGGCCGCGAUAAAGCCAUCAUGUGAAAAGAAUCCCACGCAUGAGUGGGAGGAGAGUGAGAGCAUGGCAGCUGAUAGAGACCUCGUCAGAGCCACAAGAAUAACCCCGGGAAGCAGACAGCCGGGAACACCGAGGACGCAGUGGGCCAGACAGAGCCAGCAAGCAAUCUUUGCUAAAUUAAAGAAAUCUCCAUGGAAA